ensembl:lncRNA novel transcript
GAGAACCGAAGAGCCUUAGUUUGGAGGUGCAGUAGCUGAAGCUACCACUAGAGGGAUUUGCAGGCCUGGAGCAGAAUGGCCACCCAGCCGCCAAGUGAGGGCAGUACCUUCAAGGAGGACCUGAAUCCUUCCUGCCUCAUGUCUCUCACCUGAUUUCCACAAGCCCAGUCAGUGAUUUCCACAAGCACUGACUAGGGGCCAAAAAGGAACAGGGAAGAAAAGAGAGCCACAGGGCUGAGUCUGGCCCCCUUGGCCUCUCUGGGCUUCCCUCCCCACACCCCUGCAGGUACACUCACUUCAAAGGAGACGGGCACACGAACUGUGUCCCCGACCUUGACUGUCAGCAAGUCCUUGGUGCUGGAGUCCACGAGGAACUUGGGACAGACUGAAACGCACAAGAGGACUGGUUACCUCCCUCCUCCCUCACAGUUGGACCCCAGCCCCAGGUCCCCAGCAAGAUGAGAUAAACACCAAUCUAAGACAGGAAAUGACUUGCCUGAGGUCACACCUUGUUCGGGAGAGAGCCAGGACAAGAUUCUGGGACUUUGGACUCCGUGUGCUGUGUUUGUGACUCCCUACUGCCAUAGUGAUGACUAGGGUCAGCUGGGGUGGCCCAGUGUCAGCUUGGGUCAAAGGCAGAUCAGGUGCUUGUGGUGGUUAAAGCCCAAAGGGAAAGACAAUCCUCUUUUCAAUAAUAACGGGGAGCUGGGCAUGUCCCAUUCUGAACGUGAACCAUGGGAGCUGAGCGGCCCUUAGGCCUUCGAAGGCCAU